CCUACGGGUGGCAGCAGUGAGGAAUAUUGGUCAAUGGACGCAAGUCUGAACCAGCCAUGCCGCGUGCAGGAAGACGGCUCUAUGAGUUGUAAACUUCUUUUGUACGAGGGUAAACGCAGAUACGCGUAUCUGUCUGAAAGUAUCGUACGAAUAAGGAUCGGCUAACUCCGUGCCAGCAGCCGCGGUAAUACGGAGGAUUCAAGUGUUAUCCGGAUUUAUUGGGUUUAAAGGGUGCGUAGGCGGGCGGAUAAGUUAGAGGUGAAAUUCCGAGGCUCAACUUCGGAAUUGCCUUUGAUACUGUUGGGCUAGAGAGUAGUUGCGGUAGGCGGAAUGUAUGGUGUAGCGGUGAAAUGCUUAGAGAUCAUACAGAACACCGAUUGCGAAGGCAGCAUACCAAGCUACUUCUGACGUUGAGGCACGAAAGCGUGGGGAGCAAACAGGAUUAGAUACCCGAGUAGUC
rnacentral:rRNA from 1 species